UCAUUAAACCACAGUAAUAUUAUUUAUAGGGACAAAACUACUUAUUUUAUAUUCUUAAUGUAUUACAAUAUAUUUAUUACAACUAUUAUUAUCUAUUUUUAGAAUCCAUUUUCGAAUGCUACCUUACAAAUGUGGAACGCAUGAAAUAUGAAUAUCAACAAACAUUAAGACAGAAUUCUUCGAAUUUGGUGAAAUGGAAGCGGAAAAGAAUAUCUGAACUAACAGAAGAUGAGCAAAAAGUGCGACGGGAGCAGUGGCGGAAAGAGAAACGUAAUCAAAGAAAAAGGAAGGAUAAAAAAACAAAAGUUUCUUUCCGUCGUCAAAAAGAAGAAUUGAAUUCUAACAAAAGAAAAGAGAAACUUCAGAAAAUUAAAGCAGAAAAUUAGCAUUUUAACUACUGGAUUCAAACAAAAAUGACGCGUGAGCAAAUUUUGGCAAGAAAAAGAUAUAACGACAAAGUGAGGAGAGAAAGGAUGAGGAACGACCCUGAACGAUACGCUGAAUACAAAGAACGAGAGAAAGCAAGAUAUCAGAGAAGAAAGGAAAACAAGAAAAUACGUCCGAUAAGUGAAAUGAGUCCAACAGAACAGUCGAACCAAAGAAAGAGAUGGCGACAAAAUAUGAAGCGCUUCCGAGAGAGACACACUAACUAUCCUCAAGAUGAAUCAUAAAUUAUAGCUUGGCUCAUUUGAUACAUGUUAAAAGCGCGGAUUUUUGCGUCAUCUGGGGUGUUCUUAUUAUUCUUUGAUCUGGUUAAAAUAGAACUAAAUAAGGUUGACGACCCACACAUCACCGAGGUAACAUCAGAUUAAUUCAAGUCACUGUUAGUAUAAAUUGUUAUUCAGAUUACUCAUUAUUUUAAUAUAAAUAUUAGUUACCGUAUAAACUUUCCAUAUUUAUCCUUAUAAAAUUAUUUCCUUGAUUCAAACGUAUCUUGUUAUAUUGUAUCAGUUGAGUGUGCAUCGCGUCAUUACAUGUUCAAAUAAGGAAAUGUCAAGUUAUUAUGUUUUUGUCAUCACGGUAAAAACGCAUCAAAUUCUACCCUUCGUUUCUCUGUGCAUCAAAUUUUCAUUUUGAAACACACAAGGGCAGUGUCUGGACUGUGUGUCAGCCUAUAUUGUUUUUCGUCUUAAUUAGACUGUGUUAUUGCUAUUGUUAUACUUGAUUCAACUGUGUAUUGUAGAUACAAAUCUUUAUUACAAUAUAUAAGUAUAAAUAUUAUAUAUCUCUCAUUUCUACUUAAUAUAUUGGUAACAAAAUAUAUAUUAGUUAUAAAUAUAAAUAGCGUUACUAACCAAUUGGCAUAGAGACAUGAAGUCCUCAUUUGCAUGGAUUAUAAACAAUCACGUAAUAAUUAUAUGGUCCCUAGAUCAUUUAUCUAAAGCAGGGGUGCUCAAACGGUCGAUCGGGAUCGACAGGUCGAUUGCGAGUGCUUUUUGAGUCGAUCUCGAGAAAAAAAACCGGUAUUAUAAACUAAAAUCGAUAAUUACGUACCAUCUUAUGAAAAGUAUGCUCAGGACAUGAGUGUCGCGCUACGCGUUUGUUCUGUAAGAACCAAUAAACUCGCAAUUUGAAUAAUAAUUAUGAGUUUUUUCAUUGACAUUUAAGAGCAGACCUACACUUACCUUGACUAAAAAAAUGUAUAUUUUGCGCAAAACUAAUAUCUUUGUCAUCGUGACACUCUACCUAGACGACAAUACUUCAUCACACAUACUUGAAGCCUCUCAGAGCCGAUCGAACGUAGUCUACAAAUUUAGAGGUAGAUCGCCAGCAGUUCAAGCUUGAGCACCCCUGCUCUAAAGGAUUACUUCAGUUGUUUCGUAAUUGUAAGGUGCCAUUAUAGCUAAUAUACAAAUGAAGCUGUGUCUUUUUUACUAGAACUAUAAAAGGUAAUAAGUAAGAACUUGAA